rnacentral:lncRNA from 1 species
AGAACUGCUUUAUAUAACUAGCUUGCACAUAGCUCCUGCUACAUUUCCAAACUUCUCUUGUAUUUCUGUCCUCACUAAACUUGGGUUAGUGCUGCUGGGAAUGAUGACAGAAAAGGCCGAAUUGCAGUUCUCUCUUUAGAGCAGGACAAUGACAAAUCCCCUUGAAGCGAAAACUGAACUGACCUCUGCAGCUUUUCUCUAGUUUAAAUUAAAGCUUCUCAUUUGAUCCAUGGACUAGGUAUCUUUACUGCUGGAUUCUAUUACUCCUGUGUAAGAUGUAACAAUACAUUUAUUUCUCCAUACAGGUAUACUGUGGCUGGUGACUUGCUGGUCCCAAUGCCAAAGCCUGCUUUAUGGAGUCCAUGCAAGAUGAUUAAUGUGUAGAGCUGACCAUCAGUGUAAGUACAACUUCUAGUCUGAUCUGAAUUGGAUGAAUGUAAUGUUCACUGGGGUUAAAGCCCCUGGUGCAGCCAUGUUCCAUAGGCUUCCUGAUGUCUGGGCAUGAGACAUGGUACUGAGGGAUGAUGACAUAAAAGGCCGAAUUACAGAGCCUCUCCAAGCAGUUCUCUCUGUGGAAGAGGCUCGAUGACAAAACUCCUUGAAGCGAACUCAAAACUGACCUCAACCAAACAUGUCUUAAACUCUUACAGAGUAACCAAUAACUGUGUGAAUGCCACUAAUAUAGAACCCUUAAUGCAGGCUUACCAUUGGCUCUCCGUUACUAUAAUGGGUAACAUGAUGCAGAGCAAGUGCCUGGUGCGACAUCACUGCUUUAGGUGUCCUGAGGCCAACUCGCAGGACUUCCUUCAACAUAGCUGAGACUAGCUGCAGUUGUCUGUGGGUUUUUUAAACCUCUGGGAGAACAUGGAAACUGAGUGAGUGGUUAAUAUAACCACUUACUCCGCACAGACCUGAAGCACAUUUUAUUGCUUUAAACUGGGAUGUAAGAAUGCUAGACUGGGCCGUACCACACAAUGAGUGACUCUGAAAGAUUGGCACAAUUUACCAUGAAUAGCCUACAACUUGUAUCUGUGGGACUGUUGGAGGAAUUGGCAGAGCCACCAACGUUUGCUCUUUGCUUAAUGCCAUUAAAGAUAUCUAAUCCAAAGACCUCAUUCUUGCAGAGGUUCCCACAGUUCAAAGACCAGGACAAGGCUUUCUCUGCUCUUAUUGGCAUUAAUUGCUCAUAUUCCCCUCCCUGAAUCUCAUGAAGUGUCAGACUUAAAGAUCUGACUUCUGUCUCUUAAUCAGCCUGUUACCAAGCUAUUGGCUUGGUUUGAAUGUAAACUGAGUGUUAUUCAGGUCCCUGGCUAAAAAUAGUUUUAUUUGGCUUAAAACCAAAUCUAAUGUCUGAACUAUGACUGCCAGAUUAACUGUAAAUAUUUUUUGCUCACUACUUUCUUUUUUUAAAAACUGUUUAUUUUGUUUACAGUCAUCUCAAAGGUCGUUCAUCUGAGCAAUAUGAUCCAUUGUGACAUCCCUGAUGGUAAAAUGACAAGAUUCCUGGAAAUUCAAGCCCCUCUAGAGUCUAUUAAGACCAUGCACUUCAAUUAAAACAGAUUUCUUUUUAUUUAAAUAAAUGUUUCGAAUUUUAUACUUUUGUGGGUUUU